CUUACACAUGCUAGUCGAGCGGUAACAUUUCUAGCUUGCUAGAAGAUGACGAGCGGCGGACGGGUGAGUAACGCGUAGGAAUCUGCCAGUAGUGGGGGACAACAUGUGGAAACGCAUGCUAAUACCGCAUACGCCCUACGGGGGAAAGGAGGGGAUCUUCGGACCUUUCGCUAUUAGAUGAGCCUGCGUGAGAUUAGCUAGUUGGUGGGGUAAAGGCCUACCAAGGCGACGAUCUCUAGCUGGUCUGAGAGGAUGAUCAGCCACACUGGGACUGAGACACGGCCCAGACUCCUACGGGAGGCAGCAGUGGGGAAUAUUGGACAAUGGGCGCAAGCCUGAUCCAGCCAUGCCGCGUGUGUGAAGAAGGCCUUAGGGUUGUAAAGCACUUUCAGGAGUGAGGAAGGGCGUAUAGUUAAUACCUGUAUGUCUUGACGUUAACUCCAGAAGAAGCACCGGCUAACUCUGUGCCAGCAGCCGCGGUAAUACAGAGGGUGCGAGCGUUAAUC
rnacentral:rRNA from 1 species